GAUGAACGCUAGCGGCAGGCUUAAUACAUGCAAGUCGAGGGACAGCACAGGUAGCAAUACUGGGUGGUAACCGGCAAACGGGUGCGGAACACGUACACAACCUUCCUUUAAGUGGGGGAUAGCCCAGAGAAAUUUGGAUUAAUACCCCGUAAUAUAGUUGAAUGGCAUCAUUUGAUUAUUAUAGCUACGGCGCUUAAUGAUGGGUGUGCGGCGGAUUAGAUAGUGGGCGGGGUAACGGCCCACCAAGUCUACGAUCAGUAGCUGAUGUGAGAGCAUGAUCAGCCACACGGGCACUGAGACACGGGCCCGACUCCUACGGGAGGCAGCAGUAAGGAAUAUUGGUCAAUGGACGCAAGUCUGAACCAGCCAUGCCGCGUGAAGGAUUAAGGUCCUCUGGAUUGUAAACUUCUUUUAUUUGGGACGAAAAAGGGCCUUUCUAGGUCAACUGACGGUACCAGAUGAAUAAGCACCGGCUAACUCCGUGCCAGCCGCCGCGGUAA
rnacentral:rRNA from 1 species